rnacentral:rRNA from 1 species
GAUGAACCGUGCGAACGUUGUUCGGAAUCACUGGGCUUAAAGGGCGCGUAGGCGGGCUAACAAGUCUGGGGUGAAAUGCCGCGGCUCAACCGUGGAACUGCCUCAGAUACUGUCGGCCUCGAGGAAGGUAGGGGCAUGCGGAACUGUAGGUGGAGCGGUGAAAUGCGUUGAUAUCUACAGGAACUCCGGUGGCGAAAGCGGCGUGCUGGACCUUUUCUGACGCUGAGGCGCGAAAGCUAGGGGAGCAAACGGG